ACAGAGGUUGAAUAAGUUAGGUCUUUAUUCUCUGGAGCGCAGAAGGUUAAGGGGGGACUUGAUAGAGGUCUUUAAAAUGAUGAGAGGGAUAGACAGAGUUGAUGUGGAUAAGCUUUUCCGUUUGAGAAUAGGGAAGAUUCAAACAAGCGGACAUGACUUCAGAAUUAAGGGACAGAAGUUUAGGGGUAAUAUGAGGGGGAACUUCUUUACUCAGAGAGUGGUAGCGGUGUGGAAUGAGCUUCCAGUGGAAGUGGUGGAGGCAGGUUCAUUGGUAUCAUUUAAAGAUAAAUUGGAUAGGCAUAUGGAUGAGAAGGGAAUGGAGGGUUAUGGUAUGAGUGCAGGCAGGUGGGACUAAGGGGAAAAAAGUUGUUCGGCACGGACUUGUAGGGCCGAGAUGGCCUGUUUCGGUGCUGUAAUUGUUAUAUGGUUAUAUGGUUAAGAGGGAGUGGUCACGGUGCGACUGGUCCUUGAUGAUGCUGCUGGCCUCGCGAGUCCGCGUGAGAAAGGUCACUGCACAACAUGAGGCCAACCGGCCAUCGAGUCUAGCUUUUCGCCGUUUCCCCGCCUGUUCCCAUCCCUGUCCGUGGCUCUGCAAAUCGGACCCCCCUGAUGCGGUACCGAUCUGGAAUCUUGAACAAAGCCCUGAGUGUUGGAGGAACAUAUAGGCAGCACCUAUAGACGGUAUAGGUUGACAAAUGUACCUGUUUUAACUUGCAAGACACUUCACACACUGGCCGGGGAGUUUUUGAACGCCAUGUUUUCACUGUGCGGAUGGCAGUAGAACGAUCAUAUUCGGAUCUGGGACCAAGCUGUCUGUGAUACCUAAACGUGAUGAGGAUCUGAAUCCGUCCGUCUAUGUCCUCCGGGCACCCGCGGCGAGCCCCGGUGACCAGCAGGCCCCGGCGGCCUGCCUCGCCACCGACUAUUUCCCGAACAAGUACAACCUCACCGUGACCGUGGGUGACACGUCCAAGACCAGCAGCAGCGGUAGUGCCCAGGUUUCCGACGCCGACAAGAGUUACAGCCUCCUCAGUUUCGUCAACGACUCCACGCCCGAGAGCAAAAUCACCUGCUCGCUGACUCCCAACGUGACAGCAGACGGGGAAAGCGACGUUGGCAAGCUGAGUUGCAUUACACUUGAGGAGACUGAUGAAGAUGG